ACUACGGGGGUAUCUAAUCCUGUUUGCUCCCCACGCUUCCGUGCAUGAGCGUCAGUGUUAUCCCAGAGGAGGCUGCCUUCGCCAUCGGUGUUCCUCCGCAUAUCUACGCAUUUCACUGCUACACGCGGAAUUCCACCUCCCUCGGUACACUCUAGCUCGGUAGUUAAAAAUGCAGUUCCAAAGUUAAGCUCUGGGAUUUCAUCUUUCUUUCCGAACCGCCUGCGCCACGCUUUACGCCCAGUAAUUCCGAUUAACGCUUGCACCCUACGUACCGCCGGCGUUUGGCGCAUACGUUCAGCGGUUGCUUCUUCAGGGUGCAUCAACGAUUUUGGGUGUAUCGUGCCGUUUUCUUCCACUCCCUGCCAAGUGCUUUACAACCGAAGGCCUUCGCCCCACGCGGGAUGGCUGGAUCGGGGUUUCCCCAUUGUCAAAAUUCCCCACUGCUGCCUCCCGUA
rnacentral:misc_RNA from 1 species